rnacentral:rRNA from 1 species
UAGUGGCGGACGGGUGAGUAACGCGUGGGAAUCUGCCCUCAGGAGGGGGAUAACGGUUGGAAACGACCGCUAAUACCCCAUAUGCCGAGAGGUGAAACGAAAUUCGCCUGAGGAUGAGCCCGCGUCUGAUUAGCUAGUUGGUGGGGUAAAGGCCUACCAAGGCAUCGAUCAGUAGCUGGUCUGAGAGGAUGGUCAGCCACACUGGGACUGAGACACGGCCCAGACUCCUACGGGAGGCAGCAGUGGGGAAUUUUCCGCAAUGGGCGCAAGCCUGACGGAGCAACGCCGCGUGAGGGAUGAAGGCCUCUGGGCUGUAAACCUCUUUUCUCAAGGAAGAAGAACUGACGGUACUUGAGGAAUAAGCCACGGCUAA